CUCCAGCCAGAAGGAUGGGGUGGCUCCCACUCCUGCUGCUUCUGACUCAAUGCUUAGGGGUCCCUGGGCAGCGCUCGCCAUUGAAUGACUUCUAGGUGCUCCGGGGCACAGAGCUACAGCGCCGCUACAAGCGGUGGUGCCCGGGCCUUGGCAGGAGGAUGUGGCAGAUGCUGAAGAGUGUGCUGGUCGCUGUGGGCCCUUAAUGGACUGCCGGGCGUUCCACUACAAUGUGAGCAGCCAUGGUUGCCAACUGCUGCCAUGGACUCAACACUCACCCCACACGAGGCUGCGGCAUUCUGGGCGCUGUGACCUCUUCCAGGAGAAAGGUACAUGCCCACGCUCCGGAAUGGCCUGGAAGAGAACUUCUGCCGUAACCCUGAUGGCGACCCCGGAGGUCCUUGGUGCCACACAACAGACCCUGCCGUGCGCUUCCAGAGCUGCGGCAUCAAAUCCUGCCGGGUGGCCGCGUGUGUCUGGUGCAAUGGCGAGGAAUACCGCGGCGCGGUAGACCGCACCGAGUCAGGGCGCGAGUGCCAGCGCUGGGAUCUUCAGCACCCGCACCAGCACCCCUUCGAGCCGGGUUCCUCGACCAAGGUCUGGACGACAACUAUUGCCGGAAUCCUGACGGCUCCGAGCGGCCAUGGUGCUACACUACGGAUCCGCAGAUCGAGCGAGAAUUCUGUGACCUCCCCCGCUGCGGGUCCGAGGCACAGCCCCGCCAAGAGGCCACAAGUGUCAGCUGCUUCCGCGGGAAGGGUGAGGGCUACCGGGGCACAGCCAAUACCACCACCGCGGGCGUACCUUGCCAGCGUUGGGACGCGCAAAUCCCGCAUCAGCACCGAUUUACGCCAGAAAAAUACGCGUGCAAGUGAGGUGGGGGGGCGGGCGUUGGGACGUGCUGCUGCGGGUGAGACGGGAGGAGGGUAGUCACGGGCUUAGGGCUGGAGGCUGGCGGGCUAGGGCUGAGUGCAGCGCCUGCUUAGAGACCUUCGGGAGAACUUCUGCCGGAACCCCGACGGCUCAGAGGCGCCCUGGUGCUUCACACUGCGGCCCGGCAUGCGCGUGGGCUUUUGCUACCAGAUCCGGCGUUGUACAGACGACGUGCGGCCCCAGGGUGAGGCCCAAGCUUGGGGGCUACAGAGCCGGGGCUGGAAGCCUGGAACCGGAGGGCCGGGGCGGGGUCUCGGCCUGAUGGCUGCCCGCACCGGCCGCAGACUGCUACCACGGCGCGGGGGAGCAGUACCGCGGCACGGUCAGCAAGACCCGCAAGGGUGUCCAGUGCCAGCGCGGGU
rnacentral:lncRNA from 1 species